GAUUAAGGAGCAAGCGUGCUACGGAUCGCAAACGCAUAAUCCUGAUACGUGUUCCUGCGACUGUCCUGAACCGCAGAUCUCUUGCAAGAAUAACCAGUACUACGACAAAGACCAAUGUCGGUGCCUCUGCAAGACCGGCGUCAAGUUAUGCUCCUCAGGGAUGAAGUUCGACGAAAACACUUGCAGAUGCAGCUAAGCGUCUUAUCGGAGCCGCCGAAAUGGAUUUGGAGGACCUGAAGCCACCGUCGUGGUUACCCGAUUAGCUCGUAUCAAAAUUCAACUUUUAUUUGAAGGUUUCUUUUUGGUCUCGAAACUUUUUUUAACAUUUCAGAAGAACACAGAUCUUUCAUUUAUUCUACUCAUUCGAUUAAUUUUCUUCACUUUGUAAGCCUCGCGAGGCAUGAGGUAUUAUUUUCUUAAGAAUUGAGAUACAACUUUGAAGUUUUUCGUUGCUAUGUGAAGCGGUAGUAAAUCAAAAGAGCGUUUGGUCAGGAGAAUAAUGGUGCAUUUAAAAAUAUUUACAUGUUUCAUUGGUGACAAGCUGGUAGACUUUAACAACCAUUUUGAUGUUUGGUGUAUUUUUCAUCGUUACGUAUGAAACUCUCGCUACUAGAUCGUUAAGCGCGAAAUAACCAUAAAAUCUAAGUGCCAUAAGGACCGGAAAAUCCCGUUGAGCACGUUUGUGCCAUGCUAGUUGGUGGCAAUUUUUAGUCUCAUUUAUGUAAACCACGUAAGUUUAAAUACUUAUCAACUUACAGACGAUUCAAUUUCUUGAUUAACCAUCCCUCGAAAUCGGAAGGGACUCGUAUCUGUCACUAACUCGGAUAGUUGAACGUAAUCCCGAGUACCAUCGAUUAAAACGUAGCUCAUAUUAUUAAUUACAUUAAAGCUCCAAUUUGCGCUGGGUUUGUAACAAAUGUCCUAAUGCCUUCACUCGCAUUUGCAACUUCUCAUAACGAACCCGAUAUUAAUUAAUGUACCUUACAUAGUGUUAUUGUGUACAGUUAGUAUACAUCUCGCAUAAGACUUAGUGAUUUAGUCGAUAUUGUAGAUUGGAUUGCAAAUUGUAAAAAUUAUAUACAUUUGUUCUAAAGCCCAUGAAUGGCUUAACCUCACGAAGCUAAGGACGUAAUACGACUCAUUUUAUUGGUUUCCAUUGUUGAAUAUCCUGAAUUGCGACAACACAUAAUCACGCUCAUGUAAAGGAAGUUUUUUUUUUAAUUAUUUGAUAGCCAUGAUGCAUCGAUUUCAUUGUUCAUUUUUGCACCGUGGACGACUUAGUAUGCCAAAAGACAUAAUCUUAAGAAAUUUAAAAUAUAUAUAUAUACAAUUAUUCGUGAUUUUUUAGAAGAAUUUUGUUAGGCAAUUAAAAAGCGAACAAAUUAUUUUAUCGAGCAAACUGUAUUUUUUUAGUUUACUGAAGGAAAAUCAUCCUACAUCCUAAGAGUCGUCCUUCAUCUGUUGAGACAUAAAUUAUAUCCAUGCCUUCAGGUAUAAAUAACAAUUUAUCACUUUUCGUUUCCUUCCUGAAAAUUAUAAGGCUUUUUAGGAAAACAUUCGCCCAGUUCUGGAAAUCGGUUUCAAUUUCUGCACAAGGGAACGUGGAUUCUUUAUGUAUUUGAGAGUUGAUCACAGCAUAAUCUGCGUCUAAGAACUGCUUGAUUAAGCCUAAUAACUGGAGGCAUCAACUUAAGCUCUACGCCGCUGGUCAAAACUCGAGUUUUGUUGUCACCUCGUGGCCUGGAUCCCGUGUGAUGCCACAUCAGAUGGAUCCCGUGUGAUGCCAAAUCAGCUGGAUCCCGUGUGAUGACACAUCAGCUGGAUCCCGUGUGAUGACACAUCAGCUGGAUCCCGUGUGAUGACACAUCAGCUGGAUCCCGUGUGAUGACAUCAGUUGGAUCCCGUGUGAUGCCACAUCACCUGGAUCUUGUGUGAUGCCACAUCAGCUGGAUCCCGUGUGAUGACAUCAGCUGGAUCCCGUGUGAUGCCACAUCAUGCGUAUUUUGCAUCGCGUCUCUACGUUGUUUAACGCGAAAAUAAUUUUCUAAGUGUUUUAUCUUUAACACUAUUGAUGUUUUUAAUGGGGAUGCUUCAGUGAGCGUCAUCGGAAAACAUUCUGCUCCUUCAGGCUGCAUGUUAAAUUACAUUACAGUUUACAUAACAGCUAAAAACAAGUACCGUAUUUCUCUUUCAAUUAUUAGAUUCGUAUCUUUACAGUCAAGUACCAUACGACACUUUCAACAACACUAAUAUUGUCGAAAAAAAGGCUAGUCUGCUGAAGUUUUCAUGACAUUGUGGCAAUAUCGAUGUGUGUUUUAGUGGACCAUGUAUACUCUCAAUAAAGGACCGCAGUGAA
rnacentral:lncRNA from 1 species